UACAGAGGUCCCAAGCGUUGUUCGGAUUCACUGGGCGUAAAGGGUGCGUAGGUGGUGAGGUAAGUCGGAUGUGAAAGCUCGGAGCUCAACUCCGAAAUGGCAUUGGAAACUACCUUGCUCGAGGGUUGGAGGGGGGACUGGAAUGCUUGGUGUAGCAGUGAAAUGUGUAGAUAUCAAGCGGAACACCAGUGGCGAAGGCGAGUCCCUGGACAACUCCUGACACUGAUGCACGAAAGCUAGGGGAGCAAACAGG
rnacentral:rRNA from 1 species